GACAGAGGGUGCAAACGUUGCUCGGAAUUACUGGGCGUAAAGCGCGUGUAGGCUGACCGGAAAGUCGGGCGUGAAAGCCCUGGGCUCAACCCAGGAACUGCACUCGAAACUCCCGGUCUAGAGUGGUGGAGAGGGAAGUGGAAUUCCUGGUGUAGAGGUGAAACUCGUAGAUAUCAGGAGGAACACCAGUGGCGAAGGCGGCUUCCUGGACACCAACUGACGCUGAGACGCGAAAGCGUGGGGAGCAAACAGG
rnacentral:rRNA from 1 species